AGUGGGGAAUAUUGCACAAUGGGCGCAAGCCUGAUGCAGCCAUGCCGCGUGUGUGAAGAAGGCCUUCGGGUUGUAAAGCACUUUCAGCGAGGAGGAAAGGUAAUAAGCUAAUACCUUAUUACUGUGACGUUACUCGCAGAAGAAGCACCGGCUAACUCCGUGCCAGCAGCCGCGGUAAUACGGAGGGUGCAAGCGUUAAUCGGAAUUACUGGGCGUAAAGCGCGCGUAGGCGGUUUAUUAAGCCAGAUGUGAAAGCCCCGGGCUUAACCUGGGAACAGCAUUUGGAACUGGUGAACUAGAGUUUUGUAGAGGGUGGUAGAAUUUCAGGUGUAGCGGUGAAAUGCGUAGAGAUCUGAAGGAAUACCAGUGGCGAAGGCGGCCACCUGGACAAAAACUGACGCUGAGGUGCGAAAGCGUGGGGAGCAAA
rnacentral:rRNA from 1 species